GAUGAAGAACGCAGCGAAAUGCGAUAAGUAAUGUGAAUUGCAGAAUUCAGUGAAUCAUCGAAUCUUUGAACGCACCUUGCGCCCUUUGGUCAUUCCGAAGGGCAUGCCUGUUUGAGUAUCAUGAACACCUCAACUCUUCAUGGUUUUCCAUGAUGAGCUUGGACUUUGGGGGUCUUGCUGGCCUGUGGGUCGGCUCCUCUCAAAUGAAUCAGCUUGCCGGUUUUUGGUGGGCAUCACAGGUGUGAUAACUAUCUACGCUUGUGGUUUUCCACCAGGGUAACCUUCAGCAGUGGAGGUUCACUGGAGCUUACAAAUGUCUCUCCUCUGUGAGGACAGCCCUUUGAAUGUUUGAUCUCAAAUCAGGUAGGACUACCCGCUGAACUUAAGCAUAUCAAUAAGCGGAGGA
rnacentral:misc_RNA from 1 species